rnacentral:tRNA from 1 species
GGAGGGGUGCAGGGAACCUGGCUAUCCGGGCGGUCUUGAAAACCGCUGGGCCGAGAGGCCCGUGUGGGUUCGAAUCCCACCCCCUCCGCCA